CGGCAGCAAUGCAAUGGCUCUUUACCGUCUGAGACACCAGGGAAGCUUUAAUCUGAGUUAAAGUGUAAAGUAAUUGUCAAAAAUCCUAAAGCAACCUGGGAAGCUGUUGGAGACAUGUACUAAUAGAUGCCUACUUUCUGAGCGUGGUCAUCUUCUUCUGAUUGGGUAAGGCCACUCCUAGGACUUCAAGUCCCGUCCUGGGUAACACACUGGGAGGUGAUGCAGAACACACUGGGUGCUGGGAGGAUGGGAAUCUGGCUGUGGGCACUUGGUGGCUUCGAAUAUCUGAAUUAUUAGGGAAAAGAGCUCAGGUUUAGUUAUUCUGAAUGACCUUAAGGUGCUGAAACAAGGCCCAGUGGACAUCAGUGCAACAGACGCAAACAUCAGGUGUGCUGAUCAGGAAACACCAGGUGUCCAGACAUCAGGUGUGCUGGCCCAGACCUCUUUUUAUGAGGUGUGUGGGGACUGGGGGUGGGGGACAACCGGUGGGCAGGAAAGCUUACCCAGCAGAUAAGCACUUUUACUUGAUACCUAAGAACCCACACGCUUAUGCUGCUCUUUUACUGUGUGGUAGAAUCUGCCAGUUAUUCCUCAAUAUCCAUUUUCAUGACUCCCUUAAUAAUAAACCCCAGUAUUUCCAGCAUGCCCUUCCAGAACAAAGGCUACUUUCACCAACCUUUCUUGGAACUAGGUAUGGCCAGGGAGCGAAAUUGUGGAUUGUGGCCAAUAGAUUUUUAAAAGAGGAAGUAUCAUUCAAAUUCUGGGAAGUCUUACAGUAGUAAAGGGAGGAGAUACACUCUUUUUUCCCCUUCCUCCUUUAUGUAAACUGGAAUGUGCCUGUGGGGGCUGGAGCUCAGUGGUGAUUUGGGGCCAUGAGGUAGAAGCUCUGUUUUGAUAAGAAACUUGCAUUCCAUUACUGCCACCCUGAAUUGUCACCUUUAGUCUUUAUUUAUGUAAAGAACAAACGUGAAGGACAUGGACUCUUCAGUUGGAUUACUUUGCUUUAAAUUCCAGCUGCCUUGUACAAAUUUCUUAACUUUUCUGUGCCUCAGUUUCUAGACGUAUAAACUAGGAAUACUAAAAGUAACAACUGUGAAGUUUUUGCUUUCGAAGAGGAUUAACUGAAUACAUUUACAAUCAUAGUAAAUAUUUGAUACAUGCUGCCUAUUAUUAUCAAUAGACAUAGUCUGCACAUUUUUUGCUCAUACUUUGCUUUUCUAUAUGCUGAGACAACUAUUGAGUUGUAAUAGGUAUGUUUUCCCUUAUUUGCUUGCUCAUUUGAUAACUUCCACUAAUGUUCCUGAAAGACAAAAAGAAACAAUUUAAGAACAGUCAAAAUGCAGAUUAUGCAUACAUAUUCAAGAUUUUUUUCUUAAGACAAUCUGUCUUAAGGCAUGAGAUUGAAAAUUGUUUCUAGAAGAGUGGAUUGUUGGGGUUUGCUGUGUGUUCUGAGUCCCUUCCCUCUUCUGGUUGCUAAUGUUUAGGCUGUACAGAUACAGAUUUUAUAGUGGUGAGUAGGAAUUGAUACCUAGAGAAAGAAUACACUUCUCUUCUAGGAGUUGUCUUCCUGAGUUUCCUAAGAAACAUGUGUCUGAACAUCAUCUAUUGAUGUAUCUACUCAUGGGAAUUUAGAGGCAAAUAAGGAGGGAGGGGUGCACGCCCUAAGCGGCGACUCCCAGCUUUGUGGCGAAGGCAGGCACGCUCCCUGCAGCUCUCUGGACAUGCCUCUUCUCAUGUCUGGCUCCCUGGGUCGUGGGUGUCAGAAGGUGAGUAAGAGUUUGCCAGGAAGAAAAGGUGGGGCAGCACUUCUGGGAAUUUCUCCCCCAGAGGCGUCUGCACCUGUGUGGAAGGAUGUGCGAACAUGGUUAUUCAUGGCAGCAUCGUUUGUAACAGCGGAAGUCUGGAAUCCACAUCUAUAGAGGGCUGGGCGAUCCACAGACAUCCCUGCUGUAGAAUACUACACUGCUGUAAAAAAGGGGUUGCCAUCCACCAGCACUCUGAUAGAACGAGCUUUCCAGAAGAUACUGUUAAGCGAAGAAAAAAAGCAAGGACCGGUGAGUAUAUAUAGUGGUCUACAUCUUGUGCAAGGAAGGUUGGGAGAUGGCAUGUUUGUCCUUAUUUCCUUGUGUUUGCAGAAAGACUGGCAACAUAAGUGAGGAACUGAUAGAAAUGAACCCCUCCAGUAGGCGGUGAGGGGGAGGGCAGGAAGGCAGAGGACCAGCUAAUGACACCUCCUACGGAUGAAUUUUAGGAACAGCGGCAAAGAAUUCCUUAUAUUUAAAAAGUCCUCUUCUUCCUGCUCUCUCUCUUUGACAAAGGUGAGAAAACAAAGGUGAGGAGGUGACUGUGUUGAUGAAAAGUUGCUCUGAUUCCAAUUCCCCACUGAUAUCAGACAUCCUACCACAGGACAGGAUGGUGUCAGUGUUAA